rnacentral:misc_RNA from 1 species
ACCGAUGAUGGCGACUAUCAGGUCAAACUACGCAACCUGAUUCGCUUUCUUGAAGAUGGUGACAAAGCCAAAAUCACACUGCGUUUCCGCGGUCGUGAAAUGGCGCACCAACAGAUUGGUAUCGAAGUGCUUAACCGCGUUCGUGACGAUCUGAGUGAACUGGCAGUUGUCGAAUCCUUCCCAUCGAAGAUCGAAGGCCGUCAGAUGAUCAUGGUGCUAGCACCGAAGAAGAAACAGUAAGGCAUUCAAGUAGCAAGACCGUACAACCUUUGUGUUGUACGGCUUUGUUCGCCUUACCUGAUUCGUUUUAUUAACAAUGCGAAGUGGAAAUAACAAUGCCAA